rnacentral:lncRNA from 1 species
CUGCGAGCUCAGGUAUGCAGCUUGGGGUCUGGAAGCUUAUGGACUCUGCAUCCAACAUUUCUUUUACUCGCUCUCCAACCCUGGACAAGCUGAUGGACUUCUCUGAGCUGUUUGUCCAUUUGUGGAUGAGAAUGCUGGUGCCCGCCCUUCCCCUAAGGCGGCUGUCAGAUCAAGGUCAUCACUGCACAUGAAGGCUUUGCUGAGGGCCUACCCUCUAGACACGACUGCCCUGGAGCAGGGAGGACACAAAGUCUCCUCUGAGACGGGAGUCUGCAGGCCAGCAGGUCCUUGCUGUAGUUUCAAAUGCGCUUCGGAGACGGGGCGAGGGGACCGUCGAGUCACGCGGGUCCCACUGAGCAGAGGACCCGCAGCGUUGCCGCCAGCUACCAGGAACGCGUCCCCAGCCGUGGAGCUCGUGGUGGCUGAUCAGAACUUCCUCUCUGACACAGAUGCCCAAUCAUUAGAAGACAGAAGCUCAGGACUGAUUUUACACCUGGAAGCAGAGAAAACUGCCUGUGACUGUGGCUGGGUCUCGUUCUGACUGUAAUUUUGACCAACAACCUGCGAUCUUGUGUCAGUUCUUCAUCUGAAAGAAAAAAGAAGCGCAGGGGUCACUUGCUUUUCCAGGAGAGUCGUCGAGUGGAAGACGCCAGGAGCAGCAGCACUGGUGGAUCUGCGCACAGCAGGGUCCAUCCUCACCGUCUGUGGCUCUGUUGUCACCACUAGACGUAAGCUUGAUG